rnacentral:lncRNA from 1 species
AGAAAUCAGUAAUGGCGGUGAUUAGGGCAUCAAGACCCAGCUUCAGAAACGCUCACGACAAAGUAGCAUUCGCAGUCCACGCCGCCUUCAUCUCCUCCGGCUACCUCCUCACUGCCACCGGUAACCCCGCCUUCUCCGAAACCGCUCUCUCUUCUACCUCUACAGGUCCGUGCACCUCUCUCUCUCAAUUCUCUCUCUCUAUCUAUAUCUAUAUCUAUAUCUAUAUCUAUAUGUGCUUUGGUUAAUUGGGUGUAUAGAUGAAGUGGGGAUUGAGCG